GCCAAAUAUCAUUAAAGGAACUCGUUUGCUAAUCGACAACACUCGCUAAUUUUCACUUGUUUAAAUUAAGCUUAUAUACCGCCGUCAAAAUUAUUUUUAUAAAAAUAAUUUUCUUCAACCAAAAAAUGUCAGGUCAAGGUAUAGCCCAUAAAUAAGAACAAAUAAGUUACUAUAAAAUUUAUUUAUAGAAAUAAAUCAAACUUACAUAAAAUAGGAUUUAACAACAAUAUUUUACUAUUAAUUUAAUAUGAAAUUGCUCUAAC
rnacentral:rRNA from 1 species